UAUGUGAUCGUCUCUCGCAUAUCAAUAAGCGGAGGAAAAGUAACUAACAAGGAUUCCCCUAGUAACGGCGAGUGAAGCGGGAAGAGCUCAAAUUUGAAAUCUUAAAGGGUUUCCCUUUACGAAUUGUAGUUUAAAGAAGUGUUUUCUGUUGAGGUUUUGGUAAAAGUUCUUUGGAAUAGGACAUCAUAGAGGGUGAGAAUCCCGUAUUCGACCUUUACUUUCAACUUUGUGAUACACUUUCAAAGAGUCGGAUUGUUUGGGAAUGCAGUCCAAAAUGGGUGGUAAAUUUCAUCUAAAGCUAAAUAUUGGCGAGAGACCGAUAGCGAACAAGUACCGUGAGGGAAAGAUGAAAAGAACUUUGAAAAGAGAGUUAAACAGUACGUGAAAUUGUCAAAAGGGAAGCGUUUGACACCAGUGUUGUUUUUCUGAAAAUCAAUUAAAGAACUGUUUAUGCUAAGUUGUUUAGACUUUAUCAGCUAUCUGCUUAGUUUUGAGCUUUUCUUUAAUGCACUUUUCAGUUAACAAGUCAACAUCAAUUUCUUUUGCUGUAAAAAAGCUUGAGGAAGGUGGCUUGAGAUUCGUCUUAAGUGUUUAUAGCCUCUUGCCUAUGCAGUCGGAGAGAUUGAGGUCUGCAGCGUAGAUCCUUCGGGGCUAAAUGCAUUUGUGCUAAGUUAUAGCAUUUUAUAGACAACUUGUUGACUAUGAUUUGUCUUGUAGCUUACUCGCUUAUGUUAUUUUACCUACGCUUAGGAUGUUGAGUAGCGACAUACGCAC
rnacentral:rRNA from 1 species